CGGGCGCGGUGCACGGUGCACAGCGGCUAUCAUUUCAUUGCAGGAAAUAAUGCAAGCCGCAGACCGGGGUUCAAUUCCCCGCGCCCGA